rnacentral:rRNA from 1 species
GAUGAACGCUGGCGGCGUGCCUAAUACAUGCAAGUCGAGCGAACGGACGAGAAGCUUGCUUCUCUGAUGUUAGCGGCGGACGGGUGAGUAAAACGUGGAUAACCUACCUAUAAGACUGGGAUAACUUCGGGAAACCGGAGCUAAUACCGGAUAAUAUUUUGAACCGCAUGGUUCAAAAGUGAAAGACGGUCUUGCUGUCACUUAUAGAUGGAUCCGCGCUGCAUUAGCUAGUUGGUAAGGUAACGGCUUACCAAGGCAACGAUGCAUAGCUGACCUGAGAGGGUGAUCGGCCACACUGGAACUGAGACACGGUCCAGACUCCUACGGGAGGCAGCAGUAGGGAAUCUUCCGCAAUGGGCGAAAGCCUGACGGAGCAACGCCGCGUGAGUGAUGAAGGUCUUCGGAUCGUAAAACUCUGUUAUUAGGGAAGAACAUAUGUGUAAGUAACUGUGCACAUCUUGACGUUACCUAAUCAGAAAGCCACGGCUAACUACGUG